rnacentral:rRNA from 1 species
GAUGAACGCUGGCGGUGUGCCUAACACAUGCAAGUCGAGCGAUUCUCUUCGGGGAAGAGCGGCGGACGGGUGAGUAACGCGUGGGUAACCUGCCCUGUACACACGGAUAACAUACCGAAAGGUAUGCUAAUACGAGAUAAUAUGCUUUUAUCGCAUGGUAGAAGUGUCAAAGUUUUUGCGGUACAGGAUGGACCCGCGUCUGAUUAGCUAGUUGGUAAGGUAACGGCUUACCAAGGCGACGAUCAGUAGCCGACCUGAGAGGGUGAUCGGCCACAUUGGAACUGAGACACGGUCCAAACUCCUACGGGAGGCAGCAGUGGGGAAUAUUGCACAAUGGGCGAAGGCCUGAUGCAGCAACGCCGCGUGAGCGAUGAAGGCCUUCGGGUCGUAAAGCUCUGUCCUCAAGGAAGAUAAUGACGGUACUUGAGGAGGAAGCCCCGGCUAACUACGUGCCAGCCGCCGCAGUAA